rnacentral:misc_RNA from 1 species
ACAAUAGCACCUUGAAGCAACUUUCCAAGCCUCGUUUCCAAUCCCAGACACUUCUCUCUCAAUCUUGGGAGCAGUCUCAUUCAAAUAAUCUAUGUUUACACCAGUCCCAUUAAUCUCUUUGACUGCAUUAUUUCCUGUUUCAAUUGUUUUUCCCAUCGCCUAAGGCUUCACAUUUUAACCUUUUUGAAUGCAAAUUGUUCUCAAAUCCCUUCUCAUUAA